AGAGUUUGAUCAUGGCUCAGAGCGAACGCUGGCGGCAGGCCUAACACAUGCAAGUCGAACGGAUCCUUCGGGAUUAGUGGCGGACGGGUGAGUAACACGUGGGAACGUGCCCUUUGGUUCGGAACAACUCAGGGAAACUUGAGCUAAUACCGGAUGUGCCCUUCGGGGGAAAGAUUUAUCGCCAUUGGAGCGGCCCGCGUCUGAUUAGCUAGUUGGUGGGGUAAAGGCCCACCAAGGCGACGAUCAGUAGCUGGUCUGAGAGGAUGAUCAGCCACAUUGGGACUGAGACACGGCCCAAACUCCUACGGGAGGCAGCAGUGGGGAAUCUUGCGCAAUGGGCGAAAGCCUGACGCAGCCAUGCCGCGUGAAUGAUGAAGGUCUUAGGAUUGUAAAAUUCUUUCACCGGGGACGAUAAUGACGGUACCCGGAGAAGAAGCCCCGGCUAACUUCGUGCCAGCAGCCGCGGUAAU
rnacentral:rRNA from 1 species